UGUUGUUGUUAGAUUGGCCCUUCUGUUCAUCCAUUCGUUCCAUUUUGGCGCGGUGUUUGAGUGGCAUCUGUUACUUAGAUUAACUACAGGGCUGUUUUGACUGAAAAUGUUACUGAAAGCUUACUUUUUUUUUAUUUCCUUACCUAUGCUAGUAGCCUUGAGAGGCCAUUUCAGCUUCUCCUUGGCGUUUGGGUGAGCUCACGGGGCUCUAACCGGGAGUGUUGCUAACAUUGGCCCUAGCAAGAACUUCAAAACUUACGGUGAACUAUGUGAAUCAUGUGUAAUAAAGAAUGAAGGCUAGCGAAACUAGUCGACUCGACUUUUAUAAAGUCAAAAAGCCAAUAAUAUAACUUAUAAAGUUAAUAAUAGUACUUGUAUACGAGAUAUGUAUAUGGCCGGUAUAACUAUUUUAUUACAUUAUAUUAGCACAAACACUUACCUCAUUUCUACUGAUUAUGACGAAUGUGUUCCUCAAAAUAAUCGCAAUCAGUAGAUUUCUGUGAAGCGCAACUCUUGUGAUUCGUAAACGUUUGUAGAAGAAGAAUAUGAAGACCGCAGGAAGGCAAGACGCGACGGAAAUGGACAGCAUGGCGAUAUGAAACCUGUAUCGUUGCACUAAACGAGGCGUGACACUGCAAGUAUUGUAUACCGAUUCGACUUCCCAUGUUCCGUUUUGAUAGCAUUCCUUGCUGCUGAAGUCUAAAAAAUUAUCCAAUCCAAUAAUAUAUUAUAAUUUGUUAUAAUCAGCAAGCAAAUGUGUCAAAAAGACUAUUAGACUUAACUUUCUUAAGCUAGAAACUCUAGACUAAAUUGUUGUGUUUUUAUUUACAUUAAAUAUCCUUUAAAUAACAAAAA